UACAGAGGGUGCGAGCGUUGUCCGGAAUUACUGGGCGUAAAGGGUGCGUAGGCGGCCAUUUAAGUCCUGUGUGAAAUGCCCCGGCUCAACCGGGGAGGGACAGGGGAAACUGGAUGGCUUGAGUGCCGGAGAGGGUGGCGGAAUUCCCGGUGUAGCGGUGAAAUGCGUAGAGAUCGGGAGGAACACCAGUGGCGAAGGCGGCCACCUGGACGGCAACUGACGCUGAGGCACGACAGCUGGGGGAGCGAACAGG
rnacentral:misc_RNA from 1 species